AAAUGUAACGCUCAGUUAAGGUUCUCAUUUUUACGAUGGGAUUUUCUAUUUUAUUUAGUUGUUUGUUGCAGUUAUUUUCAGUAGCACUAGUUUUAUUUUUAGUCCAAUAGGGUGUCGAAGGGGCAGCAAGCGUUAAAAAAGCAAGAGUGGCCUGAAAACAAAAUCGAUGACAGCUCUGUAUAGAUAUCAGCAGAUAUCAGUUUAUGGACAUACAAAAUAAUUAAUUUGAUCGCGAAAACGCCGAGUGUUUCUCUUAAAUCAGUGCGGGUUUUUUAAUGAUUUUUUUUUUGGCAAAAGAUUUUUUCUGCAGUAUUUUAAUUAGUUACUUCUUCGACUCAACAUCUGAUUGAAGUUGAUCGAGAUGAGGAUUGGAGUUCUCAGCACCUGGGUUCAUCUUCGAUAAUUUCGGUUUCAUUCCUCAUAAUUGCUGUUUUAAUGUUAUGCAGCGUGAAUGGACAACAUGCAAGCAAUAUACUGGUUCACAGAAAAUGGCUGAAUAAAGCGAAGGCUUGGUGCGGCAUAGUCAUAGCAGACUGGCCAUGAAAAGCCAAAGACAGCGAUUCAAAUUUCGUGAGUAAUUGUUGUUUCUUUUUCGAUGACUCAGAAGCUCAGAGGCUAUGAAGCUCAGAAACUAUGUGAGUGACACACACAUCUGAGGGGCGAGAAUGUUCUAUCAAAACAUUUCUAUUUCAACAAACGAAGUAAACGUAAGAAGUUUAUAGGGUAACCUUACGUAACGAACGGGCGCAUUUCAUUCUAGAACUCAUCAUGCGACUUAGAAUGCCUAGGAAAGAUGGUUCUCGAGUUCCUAACAGAAGAGUGUACCGAUGACAACAAGAUAGCAAGUGAGCAUAAGGUAUAAAGAUACGAAAUUUGUGUAAUCAAACUUAUACACGGAUGGCGGC